rnacentral:lncRNA from 1 species
AAAAAAAAAAGUGAGUGCCCCAUCUAAAGAGAGCAACUGCUAAACAGAGCAACUGCUACUCAGUUCCUGCCAAGAAUGCAGGGUGACUGUUGGAAGACAUGUUUUUUCUAAGAGAAGCCAGAAAUCAGAAUUUCAUGCAACAUCUCCAGAAUUUUACAUGUUGGCUACUAAUUCAACAUGUUUUAAAACAGAGAGGUGGUCAACAUGCCACCUCUGCUCUUCAAGGAGAAGUCAUUCUGUAUGAGAGGACAAUCCUGUCUUCCACUUGGAUGCUGUGUGUGUCAUUGCCACAACCCCAUGUGAGCCUCACGUGAACCUGUGAGAUGGGCAAAAGACCACGACAGCCUCCUACAGCCUUGACUUCCUGCUUACAGCCCCAGAAGGCUUCAGUCCACUCUUCACAGCCAGCCAGGAGCAUGAUCAGAACCAACAGGAGCACGACUUUCUCCUCCAGGAUGGUGGGACUGUCUUCAUGUGGCUGGAGUGUGGCUCUGGCGUGCCACACUCCAGCCAUCCUGAACCCCUGAAGCUCCCAGAGUGGCCACGUGGCCAUGUACCUUUUCACUGCCCUUUGUACCUGCUCGUGUCUCUGUCGUCAAGGCUCGCUCCCCUACACUCCAGGCUAACACCACUUGUUUUGAGUCUCAGGCGGCACCUCCUCCAGGAAGCCUUUCUUGGCCCAGCCCACCAUGGGUUCCCUUAAAGCCUUUACCCUACCCAGCUGGCAUCACAUCUCCUUGCCCCAGUCCCAACUAGACAAGGAACUACUCAAGAGCAACGCCACAUCUUGAGUAGUUCAUCUCAUUGUCCGCUAGAGUAACUAGCACAGUAUUGGGCACGUAAUAGGUGCUCAAUAAACGUUUCUCAGAUGAUCGGAUGAACACCCGGUCAUUUAGUUAUUGGCACAGGGCUAGAACUCAGACCUACGGUUCUGAAACCCCCGCCCUGUCCAAGACUCUAAAAUGAGCUCUAUUUUUUAGGACAUAGUGAAAUCACGGAAAAAAUUCUUAGGAUGUGCUCGGUUUAGAAACAACCUCCCUCCAGAGUUGAGUGACACAAAACUUCUCAAAGCCCAAUCGAGGUCAGCUGUGGCCUCACACAGGUAUCGGCUGGGCUGGGGGCCGUGUCAGGGUGAAGGAAAUCGUGGCGGUGCCUGGCCCUGGGUUAGGCGCUCUCUUUCCCGGCGAGGCCACCGUGGUUUCCGAGCUGCCCAGAGCAUCUCCCCGCGGCGCCCGCUAGUGGGCGCAAGGCCUUCUAGGAGGCGGGCGCUCCGGAGGAAGCUGUGACCGCCCCUAGCGCACCGCGCAUCCUGCAGGCAUUCAAAUCCCCGGGUUUUAGAAGGGCUCCGUUCUCCCGUCAAGACUCGAGCUCGACUGCCUCUUGGGCUGCACGGAGAUAAGGUGGAAAAGGCAGGCCCGUGGAGCCUGGGAGCCCGGGAAUCAAAUCUCUGCUCUGCCACUUCGCAGCGCAGCGCUGUGGCCGCGGGCGUCCCUCGAGCCCAGCCUCUCCCGCCAAAGGGAAAGGGAUGGCUGGAUCCACCUACCUGGCAGGGCCGCCGGGACACGCAGCGCAGCGCUCCGCUCAAUACACCACAGAUUUUACGGCUACUCAGCACGAGGCUGGUGGCUGUUUCACGUACAACACACGAGCCACACGUUUUUAGAGUAAAUACAUUUAUUCAUGGGAGCAGAGAUGCGAAACGCAGCCGGGUGAC